rnacentral:rRNA from 1 species
GACGAACGCUGGCGGCGUGCUUAACACAUGCAAGUCGAGCGAGAGAAUCUCCUUCGGGAGGGACUCUAGCGGCGGGCGGGUGAGUAACACGUGGGUAACCUGCCUCAUAGAGGGGAAUAGCCUUUCGAAAGGAUGAUUAAUACCUCAUAAUAUUGUAGCUUCGCAUGGAGCAACAAUCAAAGGAGCAAUCCACUAUAAGAUGGGCCCGCGGCGCAUUAGCUAGUUGGUGAGGUAACGGCUCACCAAGGCGACGAUGCGUAGCCGACCUGAGAGGGUGAUCGGCCACAUUGGGACUGAGACACGGCCCAGACUCCUACGGGAGGCAGCAGUGGGGAAUAUUGCACAAUGGGGGAAACCCUGAUGCAGCAACGCCGCGUGAGUGAUGACGGCCUUCGGGUUGUAAAGCUCUGUCUUCAGGGACGAUAAUGACGGUACCUGAGGAGGAAGCCACGGCUAACUACGUGCCAGCCGCCGCGGUAAGAC